UACGGAGGGGGCGAGCGUUAUUCGGAAUUAUUGGGCGUAAAGGGCGCGUAGGCGGCCCGGUAAGUCAAAGGUGAAAUCCCUCGGCUCAACUGAGGAACUGCCUUUGAAACUGCCGGGCUCGAGGCCGGGAGGGGGUAGCGGAAUUCCCAGUGUAGCGGUGAAAUGCGUAGAUAUUGGGAGGAACACCGGUGGCGAAGGCGGCUACCUGGACCGGAUCUGACGCUGAUGCGCGAAAGCGUGGGUAGCAAACAGG
rnacentral:rRNA from 1 species